CUGGCGGGGCCCCUUAACACAUGCAAGUCGAACGGUUUUGAGUGCUUGCACUCAAGAUAGUGGCGAACGGGUGAGUAAUGCCUAGGAAUCUGCCGAUUAAUGGGGGACAACAUUCCGAAAGGGAUGCUAAUACCGCAUACGCCCUACGGGGGAAAGCAGGGGACUCUUUGGAGCCUUGCGUUAAUUGAUGAGCCUAGGUCAGAUUAGCUAGUUGGUGGGGUAAAGGCCUACCAAGGCGACGAUCUGUAGCGGGUCUGAGAGGAUGAUCCGCCACACUGGAACUGAGACACGGUCCAGACUCCUACGGGAGGCAGCAGUGGGGAAUAUUGGACAAUGGGCGCAAGCCUGAUCCAGCCAUGCCGCGUGUGUGAAGAAGGCCUUUUGGUUGUAAAGCACUUU
rnacentral:rRNA from 1 species